rnacentral:rRNA from 1 species
CAGUAGCCGCGGUAAUGCGUAGGUGGCAAGCGUUGUCCGGAAUUAUUGGGCGUAAAGGGCUCGCAGGCGGUUUCUUAAGUCUGAUGUGAAAGCCCCCGGCUCAACCGGGGAGGGUCAUUGGAAACUGGGAAACUUGAGUGCAGAAGAGGAGAGUGGAACUCCACGUGUAGCGGUGAAAUGCGUAGAGAUGUGGAGGAACACCGGUGGCGAGGGCGACUCUCUGGUCUGUAACUGACGCUGAGGAGCGAAAGCGUGGGGAGCGAACAGGAUUAGAUACCCCUGUAGUCCCUGUCUCUUAUAC